AAGAUCUUAAUCUAUUGUUUUGAUUUGCUUUUAAGUAAAGGUGUUUGAUUUCUUCAAUAAAUCAAGACGUUAUUGCUUUGAUCUUGUCAAGGCUAUAGAACUUGCGUUCUUAGAAGUUCUUGAAAUUCUUUCCUUGAAUUUUCCCAUAUUCUUUUCUUUCCUUGUUCAAUUCCUUAUUGUUAUUGCUUCCGCAAUUAUUUUUCAAAUUCUUACUCUAGUUUGGAUUCCCGACCUAGUCGUUAUCAAGUGGUAUCAGAGAAAUUCUAUCAAGAUUUUGUUCUUGAUAAUUCUUGGGAUUUCUUGAAUAAUAAGAGCGAAAAAAAAUGAAAAUUAGUUUUUUAAAAAAUGAAUUGCAUGCUCUCCAGGAAUCUUCUUUUGUAUCUAAUGUGUUUCCAAAAGUUAACUAAGGAAACAAGAAUAGGGGAUCCUAGAUUUCAAAGAUAAGAAAAAAAAUCAAUUUUUCUUACUCUUUCUAUAAAUAUAUAAUCCUUUUCUUUUUGUUUGUGUCUUGUUUCAACCGAGCCCAGUAGUUCUAGAUUUGAUUCUUCUUUUAUUAGUUCUCCAAAAAAUCUGAAUUUUACUACUAAGAACUUCAUACGAGUUGGGUUUAACUAUAAAUCUACAAAGUAUUUUGUUCAAGGGUUAUUUUGAGAGGAAAAAAAAGGCAAAGAGAGGUGAGAGCAUUAUAGGAAAAAAGCCAAAUUUGAGAGAUACAUAUUUCCUUUAAUCUAUGUCAAGAUGUCUCAAACAGGUAGUUAAAGUGGAAGGAGGAGAGAUAUGACUCAACAACUUGAAAAGCCGAACUUACAGUAUACCGAAUGGAAGAAAGACAAUGGUAAAAUAAUUUUUCAAACAAGAGCUAAAGUGAUGUCUUCAAUUUAUGCCCUUAGAAUUGACAAAGCAUUUGGCUAUAACUUAAUUAGCACUUAUAUGGUUGAAAAAUUGAACUUGCCUUGUAUUAAAUGUAUUGAACCCUACAUGUUGAAAGGAGUAAAGGUAGAUAAAAGAGUGUUAUUGCAAUUCUCUAUUGGAAGGUAUGAGGAUGUGAUUUGGUGUGAUGUCAUUCUCAUGAAUAGUUUUCAUAUGUUGUUGGGAAGGCCAUGGUAUGUCUAUAGAAGUGCUUCAUAUAGUAUGGAAAAAAAUAGAUACUCUUUUGAGGUUAAUGGGAAGAAACUCAUUCUUGGGCCGUUGACUCCCUCACAUAUUUGUAAAGAUGAAAAGAUUGUUAAAGAGAAUAUGAAAAAAUAUGAGUGAGAAAAGAAUGAGAGGAGUAAGGUAGUGCAUGUUGAUAUUUCAAGAGAGGAAAAAUGAGAGGUUGUCUUGAGUGAAAAGAGUGGGAUGCCAAGUCAGGUAAAGAGUGAUCUUGAGAAAAAAGAAAAGAGAGAAGGCAAUGAGAUAACAAAAGUCUGUGGGGUAGAGAGAGAAAAACAAGGGUGUUUGAGUGAAGAAAAAGAAAAAAACUUUAGUGAGAGAAAAUAAGGUAAUGGUGAGGAGAAAGUUAGUCUUGAAAUAAAUGCCAAAGAGAGUGUAAGCAAGAAAAAAAUUUCUUUACUUCCUAACCCAUUAACUCUUUCUUGUAUUAGUUCUUGUGAUUUUGUGCAGCCACAUGUUGAAAGACCUUUUGAAAGGGGAGGAAAGGCACAAGAGAUGGUUUCAAAGGAUCCAAUUAGAUUCUAACAUGAAUUUGGCAAAAUAAAUUCUUGUUGGAUGGUGGAAGAUAAAAGCUUGGUUAAAUUCUUUAUUAUUGAACCUUUUGACUAUUUUGAUCCUUAUUUACAAGUUUAUGACAUGGAGUUGCCUAAAAGCAUUGCUAAGUUGGAUCCAUUGAAUAACAGAAUACAAGGUCAUGAUGUUCGAUUGGUAAUUAAGUCCAAGUAUGGUAUGUAUAAUUGGUUUAUUUGCAUUCUUGGCCUUUCUAUAACACCUAAAAUAUUUUUGGAGGUAAUGAAUUAUACUCUUAUUUCUUAUGUUGGUGACUUUAUAAUUUUUGUGGAUGAUGAUAUUUUGAUGCACAUCAAGUCAUUAACUGUACUAUCUAAGUUAAAGUGCAAGAGUAAUUUGCUUUCUUUUGAAAUUGUGUAUGACAUAGAUGAUUAUGUAUUCCAACUUGGUGGAAAGAGGCAUGAAAUUUAUGAGAAGAGGCUUGCGAAUGAGUUAAAUAUUUCUUCUUCUCUUAUUCAAGUGGAUAAUGAGUUUUCAUGUGAUAAAUUGAUAGAAUGUGAUUUUUGUUGUAUGAUGGGGAGUCAUUCUUCAAGUCAUGUUCCUUGUGAGCUUGUAAAAGUGUCUGUUACUAGUAAAGAGGAUAUGUAUGAUUGUUGUAACACUUGUGAUCAAAUACUCUUUCAUGUAGAGGAAUCCAUGAGAUUUGUAAUUAUAGAUGGUUGGCUAUAUCAUGAAAGUAUCUUCUUUGAUAUAUGUGGUAGAGAUACUUAUAUUAAAUGGGUGUGUGGUCAAUCUUUUAUAAUUUCUUUGUCAUGUAUACCUAUGGACUACCUUACCGACAAGAUCGAAAUGCAAGUUCCAUUGCAUGGCGCAUCUAAGAGAGGUUUUUAUUGCAUUGGUCGAGGUAAGCAUAAAUUUUAUUGGGAUGAUGAUCUCCAUAUCCUUUAUAAGGGAGUAUUUACACCUAGUAGGAUUAACUGGGUUAAAUGGACACAUGGUCACUAUCUUAUUUUAUUUCUAUUAUUUUUUCAGAUUAGUGGAUGCCAUUUACUAGUGUGUGUUUUCUUUUUCUUGCAAGCUCAAAAUUCGAGGACGAAUUUUCUUCAAGAAAUGGGGAAUGAUAGCAUCAUAGGAAGCUCAAAUCUAUUCAAGGAAAAGGAUGAAGCUUUGGAAUCUCAAAGAUGACCUUUACCAAGAUGUCAAGCUAAAGAGUUGCAAAACAAGGCCAUUAGACUUCAAGUACAAAUAAAGAAGUUGUUAAUUGUGAGAAAGAGCUCAAGGAUAAAGGAUUGGAAUUGACUAGGUGAUAGCUUCAAGGACACAUAGAGUUUUGGAAGCUCUAAGAAAGCCAUUUACGAGAUCUUACGCUAAAGAGUUGCAGAUAAGGUUGCUGAACUUCAAUGACAAAUAAAGAAGCUUUUAAUUAUAGAGGAAGAGCUCAAGUCCAAAGGAGAUGAAUUGUCCAAGUUUUAUAAUUAUUUGGUGGUCCAUAUUCAAGUCCAAGAGGAGAAAGAUUGGGUCAAUAAAUCAGGCCUUGAAGUCCACCAAAAGGGCUCAAAAUGAACUUAAAAGAGGUCUAAAAGGGGGUGGUUCAAAAGGAGCCCAAUUGGAGUCCAACCCAAUAGCCCAAACUAGUAGUUUUAAGGUCCAAAUCUGCCCCAAAAGGAUUUGCCCCCUACCUAAUUAUAAUGACGUUUUGAUGCCUUAGCAGCCACCCUACCUAAAUUUAAGGACUUUUUAUGUCUUAGUACUCCUAUAAAUAAGGAGUUCUUCUCAUUCAUUGAGACACUUGAUUAUUGAUUAACUAUAUCAUACUUUGAGACAAGAUCCGAAUCUAUGUUUUGAUUUGCUUUUAAGUAAAGGUGUUUGAUUUAUUCAAUAAAUCAAGACAUUGUUGCUUUGAUCUUGUCAAGGCUAUAGAACUUGCAUUCUUUGAAGUUCUUGGAAUUCUUUCCAUGAAUUUCCCCAUAUCGAUUCCCGACCUAGUCAUUAUCAUUCAUGAUCGUGUUUAUUGACGAUAUCCUUCUAUUUUUGUGAAGUCGA
rnacentral:lncRNA from 1 species